CUGAGCUCCCGAUGCCGAACUCCUCCCCUCUCUUCACCGACUCCUAUUCUCCUCCUCCCCUUUUCUCCUCGCCGACACCAUGCCGCCCUUGCCGACAUUGCGACCUCUUUCCCCCUUCUCUUCAUCUCCAGCGCAGAUCUGUAUCAAAGCAUUCUCCCCAUCUCGCCAAAUCCCUUCUCCCUCUCCCUCUCCCUCUCAUCCCGAUCCUGUUGCCGUACCCUAAAUCCCUCGCCGCCCACUGCUAUGAGUCACCAUCGACUGCUAUGGGCUGACACCGGAGCAUAGGCAUCGCCGGUUACCCCUCCUAGUCGUGCCCUAACCUCCAUCUGUGAUUUUUCCUCCUUGCCAACGCAUGUCGCAGUUAUUCCUUCUUCACCCAACUCAACAACUGCCUUCUGCUAGGUCUCCGACAGAGAAAGCUACAGGCACAAAAUUAGACUUAGCUCCCGCCACUAUUUUUUGGUAGCAAGCCUCUCUGGCCGUGAGUUUUAACAGCUGUGCAUUCAGAUUUGUGUAAGUUUCGGAGGGUUUUAGAAGUGGGAGAUCAACAACCCCACCUUACUUCGGAUACCAAUUUCCCAGCCAACAUCUCUUGCUGUGGAUCAAUAGCUGUGAAUCUAUAUUUGGGAUCUAUUUGAGACGGCAUCAUGAUGUGGACUUUAUCUGAUACGAUCUUCUUUUUAAGGCGGGUACC